ACUUCUGGGGGGGAAAAUAAAACUCUUUGUAAGAUAAAUUAGGGUUUGGAUUUAAUCCAAACCCUUUACCUCCUUUAGACGCGCCGCCUCUUAUCUCCUUCCAUUCUGCCAAAUUUCCGACGCCCCUCACGUUGCCGCCGGCCGGUGGAGGCUCCUGACGCGCCCCCGUUCCAACUCCGGUCGAUUCCCCAUGGUUUCCGGCUUCGAUUCGCCGGGGAACCCCUUCUCCGUUUACACCGACCGCCAUUUUCGCUUGGGCUUGAGAAGCUCUCGCCUUGUGCCGUUCUUCCCACCAAUCGGGAUAUCCGACCCGUUUGAAGCAGGCCUCCCAAGUGUGUUUAUGUUUCCCACAAUGGGAGCACCACAAUUUCGACGUGUCGGGCUUGUUUCCCGGUCGGCUGGUGGCCGCGGGGCGCGGUGGUGGUGGUCCGUUCCGAUUCAGAGGCCGUUGGGUCUGAGCGGCGAGGCCUUGUCCGAUUUCUCCACCAAAUGAUGAGUCGGCACUGCCGUUGGCUUCGUCGGUGGGUGAGGACGACGCCGGUGGCAUGAUUCGACGUCGAGCCGCCUCCGUCUUCACCCAUCCAUACGCAGCCUCCACUGAUGGUGUUGGAUCUUCUUUCAGAAUUUCCCGUCGGAUUGAGUCGUAUUCCUGAUUUAAUCCGGUCAGGAACUUGAUGAGCCUUUUGGAGUUUGAGAACGUCCGGAAUUGAUCGAUUCCUUUGUCACAGCAGCUAAUUGGUCAUAGAUGAGGUACUUGUCGGCUUUACUCUCGAAUGUCACCGCGAGAUUGUCCCAGAGCGCCUUCGACGUCUGAUGAUGGGCAAAGUCUGCAAUGAUCUCGUUAUCGAUGUUGUCGACAAUCCAUGAGAACACCACUAGAUAUAAUCAACAACGUCCAAAGAAUUUGAUCAAACAGAAGAGACGACGAUGCUGAGUAAGAGUUGGUCCUGAGGAUACAGGAAGGAUAGGCCGCCUGAAGAUGACUGCUGCCCCAUUUGCUUUGAUGACUUCCACGGUCCAUGCCGGACUAACUGCGGCCAUUGGUUUU